GGGCCCUGGGGGCCGCUCGCAGGUGUUCGCUGGCGCCCGGAUGUCUGAGCUCUGGCUCCGCUCUGGCUCCGGCUCCCUCCGCAGCCUGCGGGCGGGGCUCGCAGCCCAUCCGGAGCCUCGCGGCGCCCCCGCCGCUCUGCCAGCAGCGCGGCCUCCCGGUUCCCAGCCUAGCGGCCUGGGGGGGCCCCCCACCCAGCGGAGUCGCUGACCCCACUGCUCUCCCGCUGCCCCCAGCUGCGCUCGGGCCGCUGCAGCCUCGGCGCACCCCCACCCGCUUCCUGCCCCGGCCGCGAGCCGCCCUGGAUCGCACCCGGUUCCUUCCUUCCUUCGUUCUUUCAGGCAACUCGCAUUCUUCGAGCGCCUGCGACGUGCCCUGCAUAGGGCCUUACCGGCCUUCCGAGUGUGGCCCCGGGCCCGCUGGGCUCCUCCGAGAAGCCUCUGCCCUCUCGACUCUCCUUUCCCACCUCCGCCCCUCUGUUCCGUGAGGUGCUUCGCUCAGAGUCGAGCAAUUUAAUUGUUCUCUGAUUAGUUCUCCUGUUAGAGCUGUUUUGAAACUUCAUGCAAACCGAUGGGUGCUGCAGAAUUGGCCUCUUCCAGCCACAGCAGUAAUCCUGUUACUUUCUCUCUGUGAGUCUGGGAAACAGACAGACACUGGUCGAAACCUCAGCUUUGUCAUUUACCAGUUGUGCUAUCACAGGCUGGUCUGAAACUCCUGGGCUCAAGCAAUCCUCCCACAUUGGCUUCCCAACGUGCUGGGAUUACAGGUCUGAACCACCAAACCGGGUCACAGAGAACAGGAGUUGCGGGGACGAAGAACGUGACCCAGAGGCCAGAGAACCUGGAGGCCAGGGUUGGUGUAACUGUGUAGGAUUCGUGUGAACAGGUGAUGCACUGAGGAGCCCGGGACAAGGGAUAUGUACCUUCAGGAAGUGUCUGUCAAGCGGUUUGUAUUCUGAUUAAUAGGACUUUGAGCACAAGGAAUCUGUGGAAUUUUUCAGGAGAAGAUACACCAGCUGGAAUGGAAGCUUGCUUUAGUUUGGGGAUUUUUCCAGGACUAUCUGGGGUUGUCUGGAACGGGAACUUCCUCACUUACCUGCUCUGUGGCCUCAGGCAAGUCGUGGCUUCCUCAUCUGGAAAAUAGUACUAAGCAUCCCCAACUCAUCUAGUUGUGGGACACAGUCUUUCCACUUCCAGCAAUGUGUGCGGCACUGGAACCCCUGGUUCAUUAGCAGAAUGUACCCUCCUUCACAUGGGGUUUUGGGGCUGAGUUCAUUGUUCACAACAGCACUGUGCCUUGGGAGAGAGAUCUGAGUUCAGAUCCUGAUUUCAUCUUUAAACAGUUGUCAAGUUCCUUUACA